GUGCUCACUUCAGCAGCACAUAUACUAAAAUUGGGACAAUACAAAAUUAGCACGGCCCUUGCACAAGGGUGACGUGCAAAUUUGUGAAGUGCUCCAUAGUUUC